GGGAGAGCAGCUGCCUUACAAGCAGCGGGUCGGCGGUUCGAUCCCGUCAUCACCCACCA
rnacentral:tRNA from 2 species